CUAGUAGUGAAUGGAUCGUCUGUGUGGGGGCGUGGACGCACACCUGCAGACGAUCCAUUCAUCACUGUGGAGUAUUUAAGGACACCGGAAGACGGCGCCAGAGUGUUGUUCACGCCAUGUGGGUAACUGACGGCUAGCUCUUGUUCGUUGUAUGCUUUUUGAACCCCUACCUUGGCCGGGCAUACACUGUACGAUUUUAGCCCGUGGGUUUUUUUGACCCGAUUUUUGAGACGCACGACCAGGCGACGCACGGCCCGAUUUCACCUUUUGUCGGGCGUCUUUUUCCGUACAGUGUACAGGCAGUUUUCAUCAUUUCUGGGGAUAAACGUCUAUAUGUUAAAGUGAAAGUCACUGGAUGGCAGUAUUACAGCUCAUUUAAUUUCAUAAAGUUUUAAGCAUGGGAUUGUAACGCUGACAUGUACCAGGAUGCCUUGAGGAAGAAGAGUUUUACUGCAAGUAAGAAACAUGAGGCAAACAGGAAGAAACUUCAGAAGAAAUAUCAAAACAUGUCGGGACAUGAUUCACAGAGACUACGGGAAAAUUGGUAUAGAGGUGAUUCUUGCCUGCUGCCAACACUGUGGUGGACUUGUGUUAUCUCCUGCCCCAGACAAACAUAGGUACUCUAGUGGUCAGUAUUGUCGUCAUCAUCUGCAUGGUUCUUGCUAAAGAGCUGAAUACUUUCCUCAGCAAAAAGAUUCCUGUUCCUUUACCUAUGGAGCUGCUGGCUGUCUUUGUGGAAAGUACUGAGAAAGAAACAUACUCCUGUAUCAGUCUGUCCUGAUACCAAGGGACUGGACAGCAUUCUGCGGGGACACUCCUGGGUAUGAUGAACAAUUCGACCAAGUCCCAAAGACGACUCCACUGAGGAAGAAGUCUUAUUUGGAAGAUAAGUUACGAUAUUGGGCGUAAUUCUGAGUUUGGAGUUCCUGACCGAGAGUCUGGAUACGACUGGAUUUAUUUCCUCUGGAAACACCACAGUAAUACCACUAGAGGGGAAAAAGAAGAACCCAUUUCGAAGAAGAACACAAGAAGUAUUUAACUAUGGCGGACAAAAGGUUGGGGUAUAAGGUCCACAGGAGAAUCCUGGAUGAAACAGCUGUGGAGGAGAUUGCAGAAAAGUCUGAGAUGACCUUGUCUCUGUCUGAGAAGGUCAAAAAGUCAGUGAGGUGCAGUGGUCCUCAGUUGAAGAGACACCUGCUGGACCGUCUCCCUGUCUUAUCAUGGCUACCUCAUUACUCCAUCAAGGAGAACCUCAUAGGAGACCUGAUCUCUGGAGUCAGUGUGGGCAUCAUGCAUCUGCCACAGGGUAUGGCCUACGCCUUGCUGGCAUCUGUUCCUCCUGUUUUUGGCCUUUACUCCUCUUUAUACCCUCCUCUCAUCUACUUUAUCUUUGGAACAUCCAAGCACAUCUCCAUAGGCACGUUUGCUGUGAUGAGUGUCAUGAUAGGAGGAGUGACAGAACGACUAGCCCCUGACUCCAACUUUAUGAUAUGGGACAAUGUGACCAACGGCAGUAUAGUUGAUGCCGUGUCAAGGGACACGGAGAGGGUCAGAGUAGCAACAGCGGUCACCUUUAUGACUGGAUUAUUCCAGAUAAUGCUCGGUGUUCUCCAGUUUGGUUUCGUGGUGACCUACCUGUCUGAACCCCUGGUCAGAGGCUAUACCACAGGGGCUUCUAUCCAUGUCAUUGUGAGCCAGCUCAAAUACACCUUUGGCAUUAACCCUGUGAGAUACAGUGGACCAUUAUCCUUGAUAUAUACUGUGGUGGACUUGUGUUAUCUCCUGCCCCAGACAAACAUAGGUACUCUAGUGGUCAGUAUUGUCGUCAUCAUCUGCAUGGUUCUUGCUAAAGAGCUGAAUACUUUCCUCAGCAAAAAGAUUCCUGUUCCUUUACCUAUGGAGCUGCUGGCUGUUGCAAUUGGAACAGUCAUCUCCUGGCAGGUUAAUCUAGAAGAUAAAUAUGGAGUAGCUGUGGUGGGGAAUAUUCCCUCAGGUCUCCUGCCACCCACGUUCCCACCAGCCUCUCUGUUCGGUCAGGUGAUUGGAGACGCUUUCGCUCUGGCUGUGGUUGGUUAUGGUAUUGCCAUCUCACUGGGAAGAAUCUUAGCCAUAAAAUAUGGAUACCAGGUGGACAGCAACCAGGAAUUAAUUGCUCUUGGUCUGAGCAACUCUGUGGGAUCAAUGUUCCAGUGUUUUUCUGUCAGCAGCUCCAUGUCUCGCACCAUGGUGCAGGUCAACACAGGAGGGAACACUCAGAUUGCUGCAGCUGUGUCAUCUGUAAUUAUUCUUUGUAUUGUGCUGUGGAUUGGCUAUCUCUUUGAGAGUCUGCCCAAGGCAGUGCUGUCUGCCAUAAUCUAUGUCAACCUUCAAGGUAUGUUGAAGCAGCUUGUAGACAUUCCUGUCCUGUGGAAGAAGAACAAAGUGGACGCAGUAAUCUGGGUGUCCACCUUCAUCCUCACUCUGCUACUGAACCCUGAUAUAGGACUGGCUGCUUCCAUCGCCUUCUCCAUGCUCACAGUCAUCAUCAGGACACAAUUACCUAAAUAUUCUCUGUUAGGACAAGUUCAUGGCAGUGACAUCUACAAACCACUGGAAGACUUUCAUCAGGUGAAGCCAGUUCCAGGCAUUGUGAUCUUCCGUUCAUCUGCCACACUUUACUUCGCAAACGCAGAGAUGUAUCAAGAUGCUCUCAAGAUUAAGUCUGGUAUUGAUGUUGCCAUGAUCCUGUCAACAAAGAAGAAACUGGAGGAAAAAAUUAAAAAAUUAGAGGAGCAAAAUGUCAGGAAUCAACAGCAGGAGCCAGAUGAAGACAUUGCUGCCAUUCAAGUGGAGUCUGAGCCUGCCCCAACACUCCCCAGAGCCGUCAUCCUGGACCUGAGUCCAGUCAACUUUCUGGACACAAUGGGAGUCAAAACACUGAGCAACAUCCAUAAGGGCUACGCAUCAGUGGGUAUCGACGUGUUUCUCACGGGCUGUCAGAAUGUAUUGCUCCAUCAUCCAAACGUACGGCAUAAAAAACCUGGCGAUCGGUUCACAUGAGAACUAACGAAUAUGCGAACGAAUAUGUCCUACCGUAUACCUGGAAUACGGCUUUGUUUACAUUGGGGCGUACAUGCUGUACUGGCAAAUCAUGAGACAGACUUUUCUGACUUUACCACCGUGUUAGUUCAGCUGUCGUGGUGGAAAACCUGCAAACCGGAGGUUUCUUUGAUGAAAAAGUCACAAAAUCCUGUCUGUUCUCCACCAUCCAUGAUGCUGUUUUGCACAGUCAGUCGUCCAGUGAACCAAAUGAGGACAUCACAUGGACACAG